rnacentral:rRNA from 1 species
UACGGAGGGUGCAAGCGUUAUCCGGAUUUACUGGGCGUAAAGCGCACGUAGGCGGAUUGGUCAGUUAGGGGUGAAAUCCUGGAGCUCAACUCCAGAACUGCCUUUAAUACUGCCAAUCUCGAGUCCGGAAGAGGUAAGUGGAACUCCUAGUGUAGAGGUGGAAUUCGUAGAUAUUAGGAAGAACACCAGUGGCGAAGGCGGCUUACUGGUCCGGUACUGACGCUGAGGUGCGAAAGCGUGGGGAGCAAACAGG